GAGUUUGAUCUUGGCUCAGAAUCAACGCUGGCGGCGUGCCUCAGACACGCAAGUCGAACGAUUAAAGCUCUCUUCGGAGAGUGUAUAGAGUGGCGCACGGGUGAGUAACACGUAAGUAAUCUACCCUCGAGUGGGGAAUAACGUCCGGAAACGGACGCUAAUACCGCAUAAUGCAGCGGCACCGCAAGGUGACAGUUGUUAAAGGAGAAAUUCGCUUGAGGAGGAGCUUGCGGCAGAUUAGCUUGUUGGUAAGGUAACGGCUUACCAAGGCUACGAUCUGUAACCGGUCUUAGAGGACGGUCGGUCACACUGACACUGAAUAACGGGUCAGACUCCUACGGGAGGCAGCAGUCGGGAAUUUUGGGCAAUGGGCGAAAGCCUGACCCAGCAACGCCGCGUGAAGGAUGAAGUAUUUCGGUAUGUAAACUUCGAAAGAAUAGGAAGAAUAAAUGACGGUACUAUUUAUAAGGUCCGGCUAACUACGUGCCAGCCGCCGCCGUAAC
rnacentral:rRNA from 1 species